GGAGAGUUUGAUCCUGGCUCAGGACGAACGCUGGCGGCGUGCCUAAUACAUGCAAGUCGAGCGGACAGAUGGGAGCUUGCUCCCUGAUGUUAGCGGCGGACGGGUGAGUAACACGUGGGUAACCUGCCUGUAAGACUGGGAUAACUCCGGGAAACCGGGGCUAAUACCGGAUGCUUGAUUGAACCGCAUGGUUCAAUUAUAAAAGGUGGCUUUUAGCUACCACUUACAGAUGGACCCG
rnacentral:rRNA from 1 species